rnacentral:rRNA from 1 species
AAAUUGAAGAGUUUGAUCAUGGCUCAGAUUGAACGCUGGCGGCAGGCCUAACACAUGCAAGUCGAACGGUAACAGGAAGCAGCUUGCUGCUUUGCUGACGAGUGGCGGACGGGUGAGUAAUGUCUGGGAAACUGCCUGAUGGAGGGGGAUAACUACUGGAAACGGUGGCUAAUACCGCAUAACGUCGCAAGACCAAAGAGGGGGACCUUCGGGCCUCUUGCCAUCAGAUGUGCCCAGAUGGGAUUAGCUUGUUGGUGAGGUAACGGCUCACCAAGGCGACGAUCCCUAGCUGGUCUGAGAGGAUGACCAGCCACACUGGAACUGAGACACGGUCCAGACUCCUACGGGAGGCAGCAGUGGGGAAUAUUGCACAAUGGGCGCAAGCCUGAUGCAGCCAUGCCGCGUGUAUGAAGAAGGCCUUCGGGUUGUAAAGUACUUUCAGCGGGGAGGAAGGUGUUGUGGUUAAUAACCGCAGCAAUUGACGUUACCCGCAGAAGAAGCACCGGCUAACUCCGUGCCAGCAGCCGCGGUAAUACGGAGGGUGCAAGCGUUAAUCGGAAUUACUGGGCGUAAAGCGCACGCAGGCGGUCUGUCAAGUCGGAUGUGAAAUCCCCGGGCUCAACCUGGGAACUGCAUUCGAAACUGGCAGGCUUGAGUCUUGUAGAGGGGGGUAGAAUUCCAGGUGUAGCGGUGAAAUGCGUAGAGAUCUGGAGGAAUACCGGUGGCGAAGGCGGCCCCCUGGACAAAGACUGACGCUCAGGUGCGAAAGCGUGGGGAGCAAACAGGAUUAGAUACCCUGGUAGUCCACGCCGUAAACGAUGUCUACUUGGAGGUUGUGCCCUUGAGGCGUGGCUUCCGGAGCUAACGCGUUAAGUAGACCGCCUGGGGAGUACGGCCGCAAGGUUAAAACUCAAAUGAAUUGACGGGGGCCCGCACAAGCGGUGGAGCAUGUGGUUUAAUUCGAUGCAACGCGAAGAACCUUACCUGGUCUUGACAUCCACGGAAGUUUUCAGAGAUGAGAAUGUGCCUUCGGGAACCGUGAGACAGGUGCUGCAUGGCUGUCGUCAGCUCGUGUUGUGAAAUGUUGGGUUAAGUCCCGCAACGAGCGCAACCCUUAUCCUUUGUUGCCAGCGGUCCGGCCGGGAACUCAAAGGAGACUGCCAGUGAUAAACUGGAGGAAGGUGGGGAUGACGUCAAGUCAUCAUGGCCCUUACGACCAGGGCUACACACGUGCUACAAUGGCGCAUACAAAGAGAAGCGACCUCGCGAGAGCAAGCGGACCUCAUAAAGUGCGUCGUAGUCCGGAUUGGAGUCUGCAACUCGACUCCAUGAAGUCGGAAUCGCUAGUAAUCGUGGAUCAGAAUGUCACGGUGAAUACGUUCCCGGGCCUUGUACACACCGCCCGUCACACCAUGGGAGUGGGUUGCAAAAGAAGUAGGUAGCUUAACCUUCGGGAGGGCGCUUACCACUUUGUGAUUCAUGACUGGGGUGAAGUCGUAACAAGGUAACCGUAGGGGAACCUGCGGUUGGAUCACCUCCUUACCUUAAAGAA